rnacentral:lncRNA from 1 species
CCCGUUCCUCAUAUGUGAUAUUAUUAUUUCAUUAUUAGGUAUAAGAUAGUAAACGAUAAGGAAAGACAAUUUAUUAAGAAAGCCAUGCUAAAAUAUAUAUAGAUAUACCUUAGCAGGUGUUUAUUUUACAACAUAACAUAGUAGCUGGCCAGCAGGCAGGCUAAAACAUAGUAUAGUCUAGCUGCAGGCAUUAUUUGUUACUAGACUUCCUGGAAUAAGACAUCAAGAGGAUUUUCGUUGACAAGAGCCAAACGCCUUUUUCCAUUUUGAAUAACUACACCCACUUUUGCACA